rnacentral:rRNA from 1 species
AACGUAGGUCACAAGCGUUGUCCGGAAUUACUGGGUGUAAAGGGAGCGCAGGCGGGAAGACAAGUUGGAAGUGAAAUCCAUGGGCUCAACCCAUGAACUGCUUUCAAAACUGUUUUUCUUGAGUAGUGCAGAGGUAGACGGAAUUCCCGGUGUAGCGGUGGAAUGCGUAGAUAUCGGGAGGAACACCAGUGGCGAAGGCGGCCUACUGGGCACCAACUGACGCUGAGGCUCGAAAGUGUGGGUAGCAAACAGG